GAUGAAGAACGUAGCGAAAUGCGAUAAGUAAUGUGAAUUGCAGAAUUCAGUGAAUCAUCGAAUCUUUGAACGCACAUCGCGCCCGCCAGUAUUCUGGCGGGCAUGCCUGUUCGAGCGUCAUUUCAACCAUCAAGCCCUGCUUGCGUUGGGGUCCUGCGGCUGCCCGCAGGCCCUGAAAACCAGUGGCGGGCUCGCUAGUCACACCGAGCGCAGUAAUACAUCUCGCUUUGGGCGUGCGGCGGGUUCUUGCCGUUAAACACCCCCUUUUUACCAAGGUUGACCUCGGAUCAGGUAGGAAUACCCGCUGAACUUAAGCAUAUCAAUAAGCGGAGGA
rnacentral:misc_RNA from 1 species